UACGUAGGUGGCAAGCGUUGUCCGGAUUUACUGGGCGUAAAGGGCGUGCAGGCGGUUUGUUAAGUGCAGGGUGAAAGCUCCCGGCUCAACUGGGAGAGGUCCUUGCAUACUGGCGAACUCGAGGGAGGCAGAGGAAAGUGGAAUUCCCGGUGUAGUGGUGAUAUGCGUAGAUAUCGGGAGGAACACCUGUGGCGAAGGCGGCUUUCUGGGCCUUACCUGACGCUGAGGCACGAAAGCGUGGGGAGCGAACAGG
rnacentral:rRNA from 1 species